rnacentral:rRNA from 1 species
AUUGAACGCUGGCGGCAUGCUUUACACAUGCAAGUCGAACGGUAACAGGGAGCUUGCUCCGCUGACGAGUGGCGAACGGGUGAGUAAUGCGUCGGAACGUGCCGAGGAGUGGGGGAUAACGCAGCGAAAGUUGUGCUAAUACCGCAUACGUACUGAGGUAGAAAGUGGGGGACCUUCGGGCCUCACGCUAUUCGAGCGGCCGACGUCUGAUUAGCUAGUAGGUGAGGUAAAGGCUCACCUAGGCGACGAUCAGUAGCGGGUCUGAGAGGAUGAUCCGCCACACUGGGACUGAGACACGGCCCAGACUCCUACGGGAGGCAGCAGUGGGGAAUUUUGGACAAUGGGCGAAAGCCUGAUCCAGCCAUGCCGCGUGUCUGAAGAAGGCCUUCGGGUUGUAAAGGACUUUUGUCGGGGAGGAAAUCCCCAGCGUUAAUACCGCUGGGGGAUGACAGUACCUGAAGAAUAAGCACCGGCUAACUACGUGCCAGCAGCCGCCGUAACAC